UACGAAGGGGGCUAGCGUUGUUCGGAUUUACUGGGCGUAAAGCGCACGUAGGCGGACUAUUAAGUCAGGGGUGAAAUCCUGGAGCUCAACUCCAGAACUGCCUUUGAUACUGGGAAUCUAGAGUCCGGAAGAGGUGAGUGGAACUCCGAGUGUAGAGGUGAAAUUCGUAGAUAUUCGGAAGAACACCAGUGGCGAAGGCGGCUCACUGGUCCGGUACUGACGCUGAGGUGCGAAAGCGUGGGGAGCGAACAGG
rnacentral:rRNA from 1 species